CACUUUUUCACUUUUCGCUCAUUUUUUUCGCUUAAUGUGCUUAGCAUUUUUAUCUCUCUUUUUUCCACUGACAGUCACUUCUUUACUUCUACUCGCUUACCACUGCCGGUUCCAUUAACCGCCGCACCUUUUUUCCACUAACAGUCGCUUUUUUCUAUUGUAAUUGUUUCUCUUUAUUACAUAUGCAUCAAGAAACCUUUCCACUUCCGAUAAAAAUCCAGACCUGCGAAGAAUUUCCUCAAAGAUCUUAGGUUUUUACCACUUCCCACGAAAAUCUAGAUCUGGCUGUGAAGAAAUUUCUCAAAGAUGGUAAGAAAAGAGAAGUAAAAGAACGAAGCUUCUCGAAGAACUAGCACCACAUUGAACUAAAAUAUCUCUUACAGUUGUUGAAUUGCUUGAUCUGAUUUAUGAGUAUAUUUGAUUAUCCAUUGUAUGUUUCUUCUGUAGUUCAUAAUAAGAUCUUAAUACAUUUUCCUUCUGGUGCAAUAUGGAGGACCUAUUUACUUCGUUCAAGCUUGAGCUCUUAUAUUUGCGCUGCAAUUUGUUUGCGAUUCUCUAAACAAUUUAUCUUAUGAACUUCUAAACAUCUAUUCUUUU